AACCAGCACCUCAAGUGGUCAGGAUGAUCAUUGGGCCUAAAGCAUCCGUAGCCGGCUCUGUAAGUUUUCGGUUAAAUCUGUACGCUUAACGUACAGGCUGCCGGGAAUACUGCAGAGCUAGGUAGUGGGAGAGGUAGACGGUACUCGGUAGGAAGGGGUAAAAUCCUUUGAUCUAUUGAUGACCACCUGUGGCGAAGGCGGUCUACCAGAACACGUACGACGGUGAGGGAUGAAAGCUGGGGGAGCAAACCGGAUUAGAUACCCGGGUAGUCCCAGCUGUAAACUAUGCAAACUCAGUGAUGCAUUGGCUUGUGGCCAAUGCAGUGCUGCAGGGAAGCCGUUAAGUUUGCCGCCUGGGAAGUACGUACGCAAGUAUGAAACUUAAAGGAAUUGGCGGGGGAGCACCACAAGGGGUGAAGCCUGCGGUUCAAUUGGAGUCAACGCCAGAAAUCUUACCCGGAGAGACAGCAGAAUGAAGGUCAAGCUGAAGACUUUACCAGACAAGCUGAGGGGUGGUGCAUGGCCGUCGCCAGCUCGUGCCGUGAGAUGUCCUGUUAAGUCAGGUAACGAGCGAGAUCCCUGCCUCUAGUUGCCACCAUUACUCUCAGGAGUAGUGGGGCGAAUUAGCGGGACCGCCGCAGUUAAUGCGGAGGAAGGAAGGGGCCACGGCAGGUCAGUAUGCCCCGAAACUCUGGGGCCACACGCGGGCUGCAAUGGUAACGACAAUGGGUUUCGAAUUAGAAAUGAUGAGGUAAUCCUCAAACGUUACCACAGUUAUGACUGAGGGCUGCAACUCGCCCUCACGAAUAUGGAAUCCCUAGUAACUGCGUGUCACUAUCGCGCGGUGAAUACGUCCCUGCUCCU
rnacentral:rRNA from 1 species